GGAGAGAUAUUUUUGUCAAAAACUGUACACAGGCUGCAUUUUGAUGCAUUUUGUUGUCUCAGGUGAACCAGGAGAGCCAGGAAGAAUCACGACUGGAGCUGGCUCCAACUCUGUCAUGAUCCCUGGACCUCCAGGAAGCCCUGGUCCCCCUGGUCCUCCAGGACUGUCAGGUCUCAUUGGUCCAGCUGGAAUACCUGGAGAACGUGGCCCAAAAGGUGAGAAAGGAGAUAAAGGAGAGCCUGGGAUUUCUGUAAAAACCACUGGAACAGUCAGAUCUGCCCAAACUGAAAGUGGACAAUCUGCAGCUCCUAUUCCUGGACCACCUGGACCCCCGGGACCCCCCGGACCACCUGGCCCUCCAGGAGAAGCAAAAGAAGGUCCUCCAGGUCUACCAGGACUGCCAGGUAUGCACAGUUAAUUUUUUUGUAAAACUGACAGAAGAUUUCAGAUACUAAAUUUGGAAAUGACUGAUAGAGCUGCUCCUCAGGAGUUGGUAAUCCUGGACCCCGAGGAGCAAAAGGAGAGCCAGGAAGCUUUGUCCCAACUUCAGGUGCGUGAAAUAAAGAAAAGGUUGGUCUUAUAAAUAUUUUAAAA
rnacentral:lncRNA from 1 species